UUUAAAGUCUAAUCUGCCACUGAUAAUAUUAAAGGGCUGCAGUAUUUUGACUGUACAAAGGUAGCAUAAUCAAUAGUUUUUUAAUUGAAAACUUGUAUGAAAGAUUUAAUGAAAUAUUAACUGUCUCUUAAUUAUUAUUAAAAUUUUAUUUUUUAGUUAAAAAGCUAAAAUAAAUUUAAAAGACGAGAAGACCCUAUAGAGUUUUAUAUUUAAUUUAAUUAUUAUAUUAUAUAUAAAUUAAAUUUAAAAAUUAAAUUAAAUAUUAUAUUGGGGUGAUAAAAAAAUUAAUUUAACUUUUUUUAAUAAAUUAACAUAAAUAAAUGAAUAAAUGAUCCAUAAAUAAUGAUUAAAAGAAUAAAUUACCUUAGGGAUAACAGCGUAAUGUUUUUUUUUAGUUCAAAUAAAAAAUAAAGUUUGCGACCUCGAUGUUGGAUUAAGAUAAAAUUUAAAUGCAAAAGUUUAAAAUUUUUGAUCUGUUCGAUCAUUAAAAUCUUACAUGAUCUGAGUUAAACCGGG
rnacentral:rRNA from 1 species